CAGUCGCCGCGGUAAAACCGAGGGGGCUAGCGUUGUUCGGAAUUACUGGGCGUAAAGCGCACGUAGGCGGCUUGGUAAGUUAGAGGUGAAAGCCUGGAGCUCAACUCCAGAAUUGCCUUUAAGACUGCCGAGCUAGCAGGUGAGAGAGGUAAGUGGAAUUCCGAGUGUAGAGGUGAAAUUCGUAGAUAUUCGGAAGAACACCAGUGGCGAAGGCGGCUUACUGGCUCAUACUGGACGCUGAGGUGCGAAAGCGUGGGGAGCAAACAGGAUUAGAUACCCCCGUAGUCCCUGUCUCUUAUAA
rnacentral:rRNA from 1 species